UGGCGGGACGGGGUGGAGUAAUGUCUGGGAAACUGCCCGAUGGAGGGGGAUAACUACUGGAACGGUAGCUAAUACCGCAUAACGUCGCAAGACCAAAGAGGGGGACCUUAGGGCCUCUUGCCAUCGGAUGUGCCCAGAUGGGAUUAGCUAGUAGGUAAGGUAACGGCUUACCUAGGCGACGAUCCCUAGCUGGUCUGAGAGGAUGAUCAGCCACACUGGGACUGAGACACGGCCCAG
rnacentral:rRNA from 1 species